AUACGUAGGGGGCGAGCGUUGUCCGGAAUUAUUGGGCGUAAAGCGCGCGCAGGCGGUUCUUUAAGUCUUGUGUUUAAUCCCGGGGCUCAACCUCGGUACGCAUGGGAAACUGGGGGACUGGAGUGCAGGAGAGGGAAGCGGAAUUCCACGCGUAGCGGUGAAAUGCGUAGAGAUGUGGAGGAACACCAGUGGCGAAGGCGGCUUCCUGGCCUGUAACUGACGCUGAGGCGCGAAGCGUGGGGAGCAAACAGGAUUAGAUACCCUGGUAGUCCACGCCGUAAACGAUGAGUGCUAGGUGUCGGGGGUAUCGCACCCUCGGUGCCGAAGUUAACACAGUAAGCACUCCGCCUGGGGAGUACGGUCGCAAGACUGAA
rnacentral:rRNA from 1 species